rnacentral:rRNA from 1 species
UAGGGAAUCUUCCGCAAUGGACGCAAGUCUGACGGAGCAACGCCGCGUGAGUGAAGAAGGUUUUCGGAUCGUAAAACUCUGUUGUUAGAGAAGAGCAAGUGCUAGAGUAACUGUUAGCGCCUUGACGGUAUCUAACCAGAAAGCCACGGCUAACUACGUGCCAGCAGCCGCGGUAAUACGUAGGUGGCAAGCGUUGUCCGGAUUUAUUGGGCGUAAAGCGAGCGCAGGCGGUUCCUUAAGUCUGAUGUGAAAGCCCCCGGCUCAACCGGGGAGGGUCAUUGGAAACUGGAAAACUUGAGUGCAGAAGAGGAAAGUGGAAUUCCAUGUGUAGCGGUGAAAUGCGCAGAGAUAUGGAGGAACACCAGUGGCGAAGGCGACUUUCUGGUCUGUAACUGACGCUGAUGUGCGAAAGCGUGGGGAUCAAACAGGAUUAGAUACCCUGGUAGUCCACGCCGUAAACGAUGAGUGCUAAGUGUUAGGGGGUUUCCGCCCCUUAGUGCUGCAGCUAACGCAUUAAGCACUCCGCCUGGGGGAGUACGACCGCAAGGUUG